rnacentral:misc_RNA from 1 species
CCGAGUUUACAACUCCCAAACCCCUGUGAACAUACCACUUGUUGCCUCGGCGGAUCAGCCCGCUCCCGUAAAACGGGACGGCCCGCCAGAGGACCCCUAACUCUGUUUCUAUAUGUAACUUCUGAGUAAAACCAUAAAAUAAAUCA